GGGGUUAUAGCUCAGUGGUAGAGCGUGUGAUUGGCAUCCACGAGGUCCUGGGUUCAAUCCCCAGUACCUCCA
rnacentral:tRNA from 1 species